rnacentral:tRNA from 2 species
GGCCCCGUCGUCUAGCGGCCAAGGAUUUCGGGUUCUCAACCCGAAGACAGGGGUUCAAAUCCCCUCGGGGCCA